AUUUAGCUAACGAGUCCCAAAUAGGACGAAACGCGCGUCCUGGAU
rnacentral:hammerhead_ribozyme from 1 species